GAUGAACGCUAGCUACAGGCUUAACACAUGCAAGUCGAGGGGAAACGGCAUUGAGUGCUUGCACUCUUUGGACGUCGACCGGCGCACGGGUGAGUAACGCGUAUCCAACCUUCCCAUUACUGUGGGAUAACCUGCCGAAAGGCAGACUAAUAUCGCAUAGUCUUCGAUGACGGCAUCAGAUUUGAAGUAAAGAUUUAUCGGUAAUGGAUGGGGAUGCGUCUGAUUAGCUUGUUGGCGGGGUAACGGCCCACCAAGGCGACGAUCAGUAGGGGUUCUGAGAGGAAGGUCCCCCACAUUGGAACUGAGACACGGUCCAAGCUCCUACGGGAGGCAGCAGUGAGGAAUAUUGGUCAAUGGGCGAGAGCCUGAACCAGCCAAGUAGCGUGCAGGAUGACGGCCCUAUGGGUUGUAAACUGCUUUUGUAUGGGGAUAAAGUCAGUCACGUGUGAUUGUUUGCAGGUACCAUACGAAUAAGGACCGGCUAAUUCCGUGCCAGCAGCCGCGGUAAUACGGAAGGUCCAGGCGUUAUCCGGAUUUAUUGGGUUUAAAGGGAGCGUAGGCCGGAGAUUAAGUGUGUUGUGAAAUGUAGACGCUCAACGUCUGACUUGCAGCGCAUACUGGUUUCCUUGAGUACGCACAACGUUGGCGGAAUUCGUCGUGUAGCGGUGAAAUGCUUAGAUAUGACGAAGAACUCCGAUUGCGAAGGCAGCUGACGGGAGCGCAACUGACGCUUAAGCUCGAAGGUGCGGGUAUCAAACAGG
rnacentral:rRNA from 1 species